rnacentral:rRNA from 1 species
AUUGAACGCUGGCGGCAGGCCUAACACAUGCAAGUCGGGCGGUAGCACAGGAGAGCUUGCUCUCCGGGUGGCGAGCGGCGGACGGGUGAGUAAUGCCUGGGGAUCUGCCCAGUCGAGGGGGAUAACAGUUGGAAACGACUGCUAAUACCGCAUACGCCCUACGGGGGAAAGGAGGGGACCUUCGGGCCUUUCGCGAUUGGAUGAACCCAGGUGGGAUUAGCUAGUUGGUGGGGUAAUGGCUCACCAAGGCGACGAUCCCUAGCUGGUCUGAGAGGAUGAUCAGCCACACUGGAACUGAGACACGGUCCAGACUCCUACGGGAGGCAGCAGUGGGGAAUAUUGCACAAUGGGGGAAACCCUGAUGCAGCCAUGCCGCGUGUGUGAAGAAGGCCUUCGGGUUGUAAAGCACUUUCAGCGAGGAGGAAAGGUUGUUGGCUAAUACCCAGCAACUGUGACGUUACUCGCAGAAGAAGCACCGGCUAACUCCGUGCCAGCCGCCGCGGUAA